GACUUCCCGCCAUUCUACUUCAUUGUUACUUCUUCUGUGACUACAGACGCGUACGGAAGCAAUUUCAUUAUUUUAGAUAUUCGCGAGCGAAGCUGCGGGUUAAAGCUAGUUUUAAUAUAAACCAAGAACCACAAUACCUAACAAAUUAAAACUUAUAUCUUCUUAUAAUAACGCGUCAAAGUGUAGAAGUGGUGGAACAAAUAAACUGGUUUGGAAAUUAACUAUUUUCAAUGUCAUUCAGUCGCAGAUUCACAUUGAAACAAUGAAGUCAUGUAAUUAAACAUCAGUAGUGUUUAAUAAGUAGAUAUCUUUCAUAAAUAAUGUAUAAAAUACUUGCAAAUAUAUUACUUUUGACAGUUUAUUGUAUAAGUAAAGUUGGUAAUAAUUCCAAUCAGACAAAUGAUCAUCUACAACAAGAUCCUGCAGACAAUUCUUUGGAGAUCUCUUUUCCUGUAAAUCUAAUAAAAACGAAAGAUGAAGAUAAUAUUGUUACUGGUUGGGGAGUAGGUGGAAAUGAUGUAGAUCCACUAGAAUAUCCGCACAUGGCUGCAUUGGGUUAUGGUGAUUGGAAAA